GGGGGUGCACUGGUUUCGACGGGAGUUGUCGAGGAUAUGGUAAGCGAGCCGCGGCCCCUGUACCGCGUAACAACGGGGACAAAAAAUAACUGACAAUACCGAAUUGUCUUUCGCGGCCUAAGGCCGUGCGUCGGCCCACAUUGCCCACAGGUGUGGAUCCCGGCGUCAGCUAUGUGGGGAACGAGUGCGCCAAAGCUUUGAAGCGUUACCCGUAAUGAUGAAGCUACCGUAGCCGUAAGCCUGCUGUGAGGUGUGCGGCGAGGGGAAUCCCAAAUUCGCAGAUGCGCUCGGAGAAAACCAUAUAAGCGAGCUUUCGGACGGGGGUUCGAUUCCCCCCACCUCCACCA
rnacentral:tmRNA from 1 species